GCCAGAUAAGGGAAGCAGGCCUCCGAAGCCAGCAGUGGCAACCCACUUGGGUCCCUUUCAAUGCUGUGGAAGCGUUGUUCUUUCACUCUUCUCAAUAAAUCUUGCUGCUGCUCACUCUUUGGGUCUGCCCCGCUGUUAUGAGCUGUAACACUCACAGCCAGUGUCUGCAGUUUCACUCCUGAAGCCAGCAAGACCACAAACCCACAGGGCGGGACAAACAACUCCGGACAGGAGGAAUGAACAACUCUGGACGCGCCACUUCUAUGAACUUUUAUGAACUGUAACACUCACCGCAAAGGUCUGCAGCUUCACCCCUGAGGCCAGGGAGACCACGAACCCACCGGAAGGAAUGAACAACUCCAGACGCACUGCCUUUAAGAGCUGUAACACUUACCACGGAUGUCUGCAGCUUCACUCCUGAAGUCAGCGAGACCACAAACCCAACAGAAGGAAGAAACUCCCGACACAUCUGAACAUCUGAAGGAACAAACUCUGGACACACCAUCUUUAAGAACUGUAACACUCACCGUGAGGGUCAACCGCUUCAUUCUUGAAGUCAGCCAGACCAAGAACCCACCAAUUCCGAGUCUCACUUUGUUGCCUAAGCUAGAGUGCAGCGUCGUGAUCAAGGCUCACUGCAGCCUCAACAUCCUGAUCCCCAGUGUUCCUCCCACCUCAACCUCCCAAGUAGCUGGGACCACAGGCUCAUAGGCAGAAGGGACUUUCCUUGUCUCAGAUGAGAAUUUGGACUGUGGACUUCUGCUGAAAGUCAUUUAAUGCUGAAUCUAUCUGAAUCAUGUUAUUGGACCAUGAGAGCAAGCAGCUGGAUCUCAUUCUGUCCAGGGUUUCAUCAUUUUUGGCCAUGCUGGCCUUGAACGCCUAACCUCAAAUGAUCCACCUGCCUUGGCCUCCUGAAGUUCUGGGAGUUAUAGGCAUGAGUCACCAUGCCUGGCACCACAUAAAAUUAUUUUGUCAUUAACAUUACAUUUUAAAAUACAAACGCUGUUUUCCAUAUUACUCAGGUCAGAUCUUUUACCCCACUUCUCUCAGUGAGAUUGCAUUAUUUAUUUCCAUCUCUAUAAUCUACUGUUCAUCCAUCUAUCUAUCCAUCCCUCAAUUUAGUUUUUUCACUACAUUCUGCAUUUGAUUCUUUUGAGGGUGUAUGCUUGUGUUUGUGCGUGGAAGUGGGGGUGUGUGUGUGUGUGUGUGUUCAAAAAGGUCUACAGUUUCCUUUUUCUGUAAUAUCUGUGUCUGCUGUUGGUAUUAGGGUAAUGCUGAACUCAUAGAGUAUGUGAAAAGUUUUCUACAUUCUUUGAUUUUUCUGAAAGAAAUUGUGCAGAAUUCAUAUUAUUUCUUUCUUAAAUGCUCAAGUGUUUAUUAAAAUUUACCAGUAAAA
rnacentral:lncRNA from 1 species